GAGAGAUCAAGAACAGGUUCAAUGUUUCUAAUUGCAAUCUGCCCCCUUCCAUGCUAAAACCUGGUGCGGGAUCAUUAACAGGUGACUCCUCAGAGUCUCCAGACUUCUGGACAAAGAAGAAGAGGAGAAAAUUAUGACAGCAGAAAAAUCUGUCCAAAUAAAUCCUGAGUAAUGAGAGGGAAGCUGACUAAACACAAACAGCGCUGGUUUAACAAAGAACCACAGACGGCAGGACUGAUUAUAGCCCACGGUGAAUGAGGAGCUUGAUUCAACAAGCUAUUUAUUGAACCCCACCUGGCAGGGUUCAAGUACCUCUUCAGAGAUGCUGAAAGUCCUGAGUUGACACUGGAGACCACGCACCUCAGAGGCUUUCAGAAUUGGCCAGAGCAUGUUUUGCACUGUAGACGACCAGACCCUUU